AGCAGCAGCCGCGGGAAUACGUAGGUGGCAAGCGUCGUCCGGAAUUAUUGGGCGUAAAGGGCUCGCAGGCGGUUUCUUAAGUCUGAUGUGAAAGCCCCCGGCUCAACCGGGGAGGGUCAUUGGAAACUGGGAAACUUGAGUGCAGAAGAGGAGAGUGGAAUUCCACGUGUAGCGGUGAAAUGCGUAGAGAUGUGGAGGAACACCAGUGGCGAAGGCGACUCUCUGGUCUGUAACUGACGCUGAGGAGCGAAAGCGUGGGGAGCGAACAGGAUUAGAGACCCCUGUAGUCCCUGUCUCUUAUAA
rnacentral:rRNA from 1 species